rnacentral:rRNA from 1 species
CCUACGGGCGGCAGCAGUGGGGAAUAAUGCACAAUGGGCGCAAGCCUGAUGCAGCCAUGCCGCGUGUGUGAAGAAGGCCUUCGGGUUGUAAAGCACUUUCAGCGGGGAGGAAGGCGAUAAGAUUAAUAACCUUGUCGAUUGACGUUACCCGCAGAAGAAGCACCGGCCAACUCCGUGCCAGCAGCCGCGGUAAUACGGAGGGUGCAAGCGUUAAUCGGAAUUACUGGGCGUAAAGCGCACGCAGGCGGUCUGUCAAGUCGGAUGUGAAAUCCCCGGGCUCAACCUGGGAACUGCAUUCGAAACUGGCAGGCUAGAGUCUUGUAGAGGGGGGUAGAAUUCCAGGAGUAGCGGUGAAAUGCGUAGAGAUCUGGAGGAAUACCGGUGGCGAAGGCGGCCCCCUGGACAAAGACUGACGCUCAGGUGCGAAAGCGUGGGGAGCAAACAGGAUUAGAUACCCCAGUAGUC